UUGAAACCCUAAAAUUUCCCCUUAAAAUUGGUAUCCUCAAAACUCCCUUUUUCACACAGGCUGUUUUCAUCGGUUUACCUUGGAACCCAUACGAUACCUUUCCCUUUCCCUUUCACUUUCCCUUUGGUUUUGAAAAAACCCAAUUCUUAUAUUCAUUAUUCUGUUCUUAAUUUCGAUUUUUAUUUUUCUAUGUUCUUUCUUCAAUACAUUAUAGAAGCAUUUGGUCGUCUCGUCUACUUGUCUCUCCAAACUAUUGUUGGUAACUUGGUAUGGAGAGUGGAGUGGAGACUGGAGAAUCGGAGAGGGCUCUUUAGGGCUUGGGCUAAGGUGAAUGGCCAUGCUUUAAACAUGCUUUCACAGUUUCACUCGCACCCGAAACCCCUCUCUUGAUUUUUUAGACUCUCUGAGGUAAGGUCAUGUUGAGCAUUUACUUGAUUCUCCCUUUUAUUAAAAUUUAUCUUUAAUUAUCCCUAUCAAAUGGAAAGCUAAAAUGUAAAGCAACGAGUUUAGCCAAAACCCAAACCAGCCCUUGUGUCUAUCUUCUUCAUUCAUUUUUAAUAUUAAUAACCAAUUUUUAUAAGUCCUUUCCCAUCUGCAAACUGAAAGCAGAAAAAGGGAAAAUAAUCAAAUAUUAUUAGUAAAAUCACCAAUUUUGUCACAGUUCUCCAUGCUACAGUCUCUAUCCAUAACUUUCGGUGUUAAAGGAGCCUUUAAUCCUGACUGGUGAAGGGCCAUAAGAGGUUGUUAGUUACAAACUUACAAGAAAUUUAUGGGUUUAGGCAUUUCAUGGGAGUAGCCGAAGAUAGUGAACCACCCUUGAAACGUGUGAAAGGGCCCUUGGAAGAAUCCAAGAGCUUGUCGGAGGAUCAUUCAACCACAAAAUUUGUUUCUUGCUCUUUGGGAGAUCAGAUGGCUAGGCCUCUAACCUCCCAAGGGGAUGGGGAAACAAUUGGUUCACAAGGUGUUAUAAGAAAAGCAGAAUUUAUUAAAAUUAUAACUAGGGCAUUGUACUCGCUUGGUUAUGACAAAAGUGGUGCCCUUCUAGAGGAGGAAUCGGGAAUACCAUUGCAUUCUUCGAUGGUUAAUCUAUUUAUGGAGCAAGUGACCAAUGGGAAAUGGCAUGAUAGUGUGGCCACAUUGCGAAUGAUUGGUCUCUCGGAUGAAAUAAUGAAGUCAGUAUCCUUCUUGAUUUUGGAACAGAAGUUCCUUGAACUUCUUAAAAUGGAAAAAGUUGCUGCUGCAUUGGAUACACUAAGGAAUGAGAUCGUUCCUCUUUAUGUCAAUCUCGACCGUGUUCAUAAGCUUGCUUCCUGUAUCAUCUCUCCUUCGCAAUACAUAAGACUUGGUAUUUCUGGUCAAGAUACUGAGGGUACAAAGGGAUAACUUUCAUUUUGUUGGUGACAAUGUUAAGAACCUUAAACCAGAACUGGCAAAGGGUGCAAAGUUGAAGUGUAGUAGAUGUGGACUAAAGGGUGCUGCACUUGGCUGUUAGGGAAGAGUCUGCCUGGCAUUUGCUGAUGAGUUUCAUGAUUGAUGAAAUUAGUCUUGACAACCAUGGGUGUUGUGAUGGUCCUAAAACUGGUAGACUCAGGGUAUUGGAUAAUGCACCAAAGCUCUUUGAUUAUUUGGCAGAGGGUUAGUGAAGCACAGGAUAUAGCCACAAAAUUAGGUGGACAAGUCAUUGGUCACACAUGGCUUUUAGAAUCAAUUGCAGCAUGACUGAGCAAUGCUUCCUUUACAGAUCUGGGAGGCUUCUUUCAGCUGUCCAUCAUGGUUUUCAUCUGGUGCUAGGAAUUUGAUUAAGCGUAUUCUUGAUCCAAGCUCUCUUACCCGUAUAACUAUUCCUGAAAUUCUACAAGAUGAAUGGUUCAAGAAAGGGUACAAGCCACCAAAAUUUGAGCAAGAUGAGGAUGUAAAUCUUAAUGAUAAUAUCUUAUAUUUUACAUGAUUAUGAUUUAAGUCCUUAUUUCAUUGAUAUCUUUAUAUUUAAUCUAAUUUUUAUUAUUUAUUUUAGUUUUGAUUCUAAA